rnacentral:rRNA from 1 species
UGCAAGUCGAACGGUAACAGGAAGCAGCUUGCUGCUUCGCUGACGAGUGGCGGACGGGUGAGUAAUGUCUGGGAAACUGCCUGAUGGAGGGGGAUAACUACUGGAAACGGUAGCUAAUACCGCAUAAUGUCGCAAGACCAAAGAGGGGGACCUUCGGGCCUCUUGCCAUCGGAUGUGCCCAGAUGGGAUUAGCUUGUUGGUGGGGUAACGGCUCACCAAGGCGACGAUCCCUAGCUGGUCUGAGAGGAUGACCAGCCACACUGGAACUGAGACACGGUCC